AUUCCUUUUCAAAUUUCCAUCCGGUAAGUCAAACAUAACGGGACGGAAGUCUGAAAGGGAGU
rnacentral:pre_miRNA from 1 species